GACGAACGCUGGCGGCGUGCUUAACACAUGCAAGUCGAACGGAAAGGCCCUGCUUUUGUGGGGUGCUCGAGUGGCGAACGGGUGAGUAACACGUGAGUAACCUGCCCUUGACUUUGGGAUAACUUCAGGAAACUGGGGCUAAUACCGGAUAGGAGCUCCUGCUGCAUGGUGGGGGUUGGAAAGUUUCGGCGGUUGGGGAUGGACUCGCGGCUUAUCAGCUUGUUGGUGGGGUAGUGGCUUACCAAGGCUUUGACGGGUAGCCGGCCUGAGAGGGUGACCGGACACAUUGGGACUGAGAUACGGCCCAGACUCAUACGGGAGGCAGCAGUGGAGAAUAUUGCACAAUGGGCGGAAGCAUGAUGCAGCAACGCCGCGUGCGGGAUGACGGCCUUCGGGUUGUAAACCGCUUUCGCCUGUGACGAAGCGUGAGUGACGGUAAUGGGUAAAGAAGCACCGGCUAACUACGUG
rnacentral:rRNA from 1 species